rnacentral:rRNA from 1 species
UAGUGGCGAACGGGUGAGUAACACGUGGGCAAUCUGCCCUUCACUCUGGGACAAGCCCUGGAAACGGGGUCUAAUACCGGAUACGACNACCGACCGCAUGGUCUGGUGGUGGAAAGCUCCGGCGGUGAAGGAUGAGCCCGCGGCCUAUCAGCUUGUUGGUGGGGUGAUGGCCUACCAAGGCGACGACGGGUAGCCGGCCUGAGAGGGCGACCGGCCACACUGGGACUGAGACACGGCCCAGACUCCUACGGGAGGCAGCAGUGGGGAAUAUUGCACAAUGGGCGAAAGCCUGAUGCAGCGACGCCGCGUGAGGGAUGACGGCCUUCGGGUUGUAAACCUCUUUCAGCAGGGAAGAAGCGAGAGUGACGGUACCUGCAGAAGAAGCGCCGGCUAACUACGUGCCAGCAGCCGCGGUAAUACGUAGGGCGCAAGCGUUGUCCGGAAUUAUUGGGCGUAAAGAGCUCGUAGGCGGCUUGUCACGUCGGAUGUGAAAGCCCGGGGCUUAACCCCGGGUCUGCAUUCGAUACGGGCAGGCUAGAGUUCGGUAGGGGAGAUCGGAAUUCCU